UGGGGAAUAUUGGGCAAUGGGGGAAACCCUGACCCAGCAACGCCGCGUGAGUGAAGAAGGUCUUCGGAUCGUAAAACUCUGUCUUAGGGGACGAAAGAGAUGACGGUACCCUGAGAGGAAGCCCCGGCUAACUACGUGCCAGCAGCCGCGGUAAUACGUAGGGGGCGAGCGUUGUCCGGAAUUACUGGGCGUAAAGGGCGCGUAGGCGGUCUGUUAAGUUAGAUGUGAAACCCCCGGGCUUAACCCGGGGCAUGCAUCUAAAACUGGGAGACUUGAGUGCAGGAGAGGAAAGCGGAAUUCCUAGUGUAGCGGUGAAAUGCGUAGAUAUUAGGAGGAACACCAGUGGCGAAGGCGGCUUUCUGGACUGUAACUGACGCUGAGGCGCGAAAGCGUGGGGAGCAAACAGG
rnacentral:rRNA from 1 species